CCUACGGGUGGCAGCAGUGGGGAAUAUUGCACAAUGGGGGAAACCCUGAUGCAGCGACGCCGCGUGAGUGAUGAAGUAUUUCGGUAUGUAAAGCUCUAUCAGCAGGGAAGAAGAUGACGGUACCUGACUAAGAAGCCCCGGCUAACUACGUGCCAGCAGCCGCGGUCAUACGUAGGGGGCAAGCGUUAUCCGGAUUUACUGGGUGUAAAGGGAGCGUAGACGGCGAGGCAAGCCAGAUGUGAAAGCCCAGGGCUCAACCCCGGGACUGCAUUUGGAACUGUGGGGCUGGAGUGUCGGAGAGGCAGGCGGAAUUCCUAGUGUAGCGGUGAAAUGCGUAGAUAUUAGGAGGAACACCAGUGGCGAAGGCGGCCUGCUGGACGGUGACUGACGUUGAGGCUCGAAAGCGUGGGGAGCAAACAGGAUUAGAUACCCGGGUAGUC
rnacentral:rRNA from 1 species